UACGUAGGUGGCAAGCGUUAUCCGGAAUUAUUGGGCGUAAAGCGCGCGCAGGCGGUUCCUUAAGUCUGAUGUGAAAGCCCCCGGCUCAACCGGGGAGGGUCAUUGGAAACUGGGGAACUUGAGUACUGAAGAGGAAAGCGGAAUUCCACGUGUAGCGGUGAAAUGCGUAGAGAUGUGGAGGAACACCAGUGGCGAAGGCGGCUUUCUGGUCAGUAACUGACGCUGAGGCGCGAAAGCGUGGGGAGCAAACAGG
rnacentral:rRNA from 1 species